CCUACGGGUGGCAGCAGUGAGGAAUAUUGGUCAAUGGGCUUACGCCUGAACCAGCCAAGUAGCGUGCAGGAUGACGGCCCUCCGGGUUGUAAACUGCUUUUAGUUGGGAAUAAAAGGGGGCUCGUGAGCCCCGUAUUGUAUGUACCAUCAGAAAAAGGCCCGGCUAAUUCCGUGCCAGCAGCCGCGGUAACACGGCAGGUCCGGGUGUUACCCGGUUUUUUUGGGUGUAAAGGGAGCGUAGGCCGGAUUUUAAGUGCGCUGUGAAAGCCCGCGGCUCAACCGUGGAAUUGCAGUUGAAACUGGAGGCCUUGAGUGCGCACAGGGUAGCCGGAAUUCGUGGUGUAGCGGUGAAAUGCUUAGAUAUCACGAAGAACUCCGAUCGCGAAGGCAGGUGUCCGGGGUGCAACUGACGCUGAGGCUCGAAAGUGCGGGUAUCGAACAGGAUUAGAUACCCGGGUAGUC
rnacentral:rRNA from 1 species